rnacentral:lncRNA from 1 species
GGGGAUUACCUGUACAGAUUAAACAGAAAAAGAGGUGAGUUUUCGCAAACUCAGUGUGCAAUUCCCAUAGAAAACAUACAUACAGAUACACAUUAGGAAAUAAUCAAUUACAGUCUGGGGCCUGAGCCCAUUACAUAUUUAGUUUGGGCCUUGGCCCAUUCGGAUAUAGUCUCAGAUAUAAUAUCAGGCCUUGGCCCAUCUCAAAUACAAUAUGCAAUAGCAAGAAAUCAGAAUCCUACCCAUCAGCCUCUACACACCAUCUCCGUCCAUCCCUACACACCAUGUGGGGAUUAAAUCAACCCACCUAUCCCUACACACCAUGCUGUACUAAAAUGUGACACAUAAUCAAAAAUUUCUAGCAGAGCUACCAGAUAACAGGCUUAAUAGCAUUUCAAACACUUUCUCCAAAUAACAAUAAC